rnacentral:rRNA from 1 species
UAGGGAAUCUUCGGCAAUGGACGAAAGUCUGACCGAGCAACGCCGCGUGAGUGAAGAAGGUUUUCGGAUCGUAAAACUCUGUUGUUAGAGAAGAACAAGGACGUUAGUAACUGAACGUCCCCUGACGGUAUCUAACCAGAAAGCCACGGCUAACUACGUGCCAGCAGCCGCGGUAAUACGUAGGUGGCAAGCGUUGUCCGGUUUUAUUGGGCGUAAAGAGAGCGAAGGCGGUUUCUUAAGUCUGAUGUGAAAGCCCCCGGCUCAACCGGGGAGGGUCAUUGGAAACUGGGAGACUUGAGUGCAGAAGGGGAAAAUGGAAUUCAAUGUGUAACGAUAAAAUGCGUAGAUGUAUGGAGGAACACCAGUGGAAAAGGCAGCUCUCUGGUCUGUAACUGACGCUGCGGCUCGAAAGCGUGGGGAGCAAACAGG